UAUCCCUUCACACGCACGCCUAGCCAUCGAAGCCGCCGCAUGCCACGCCGCAAGCCUGAGGGCCUCAUGCCGCCGCCGCUCGCCCCUUUCUUUGUAGGUCGCCGACGCAACCCUGGGCCCCGGGGUCGUUCCCUCAUCCCCACCAGGCUCGAGGAGGCCCGAGGAGGCGGCCAUGAGGAGCGCGCAGCCGCCAAAGCCAUGGGCAGAUCCAGCCCGCGUCGUCGGUAGCCAUCUCUCCCUCGGGCGGCCAUGAAGAAUUGGAGAGGCCUGAGCAGAACGAGCGCAUGGACGGUGCGCACCUCCCGCGAUAGGAGCCACCAGUCCUCGUCAUCUGCUCGCAUCCACGAGGAAUCGAUCCAUAUAAUGUUUGCGGGGAGCUCGGUUAGUGUCGAUGCCUCAAGGGCUUAUGCAUAUCAAUUCCAUGCUGCUUAAAGCCACUGUAAUCAUGGCUUCUGGUUUCCAGAUUCGAAAGAAGCAUAAUUGAGUUGGAGCUGAAUUAUUCUGUUGGAUAAAGAAGCAAAUAUAAUUAGAAGAUUUUACUUAGCAAUAACCGUACUUUACAUUGAUAGAUUGAAAAAUGUAAUAGCAGUCAGAACAUCUUUUUCUUUGGUCGAAUUGAUACAAAUGCUAUGGUGUAAUAUUCUCCAUAGACGUGUUCUCUAUUGUAAAUUUGAUAUGAAUGAUAUGUUGUUCAACCAAUAACAUUGGUAUUUAUUUAUUGUAAUGCAUAUGUAUCCUA